rnacentral:misc_RNA from 1 species
AACGGUCUAUACCUGCGGUACCUGCGGAAGGAUCAUUAACGAGUGUAACUUACCCUUUUUUUUAAAAGAGGGUAGUACCUCCUGUCCUUUGUAGGCCCCUUUUUAUUGGGGGGCUUUUUAAGACUUUCUGCUUCGGCGGGGUUAUUCCCGCCGGAACACCCUCAAAAAACUCUUCAAAAACUAAUUCAGUCCGAGAAUUUUUGAAAAUAAAAAAAACUUUCAACAACGGAUCUCUAGAUC